AUACGUAGGUGACAAGCGUUAUCCGGAUUUACUGGGCGUAAAGGGCGUGUAGGCGGUCUUGCAAGUCAGAAGUGAAAUUCCUGAGCUCAACUCGGGCGCUGCUUCUGAAACUGCAGGACUUGAGUGCUGGAGGGGAUAGCGGAAUUCCUAGUGGAGCGGUAAAAUGCGCAGAUAUUAGGAAGAACACCGGUGGCGAAGGCGGCUAUCUGGACAGUAACUGACGCUGAGGCGCGAAAGCGUGGGGAGCAAACAGGAUUAGAUACCCUGUAGUCCACGCCGUAAACGAUGAAUACUAGGUGUAGGGGGUAUCGACUCCCUCUGUGCCGCAGUUAACACAAUAAGUAUUCCGCCUGGGGAGUACGGCCGCAAGGUUGAAACUCAAAGGAAUUGACGGGG
rnacentral:rRNA from 1 species